rnacentral:rRNA from 1 species
AUUGAACGCUGGCGGAAUGCUUUACACAUGCAAGUCGAACGGCAGCACGGGGGCAACCCUGGUGGCGAGUGGCGAACGGGUGAGUAAUAUAUCGGAACGUGCCCAGUCGUGGGGGAUAACGUAGCGAAAGUUACGCUAAUACCGCAUACGAUCUACGGAUGAAAGCGGGGGAUCGCAAGACCUCGCGCGAUUGGAGCGGCCGAUAUCAGAUUAGGUAGUUGGUGGGGUAAAGGCUCACCAAGCCAACGAUCUGUAGCUGGUCCGAGAGGACGACCAGCCACACGGGGACUGAGACACGGCCCAGACUCCUACGGGAGGCAGCAGUGGGGAAUUUUGGACAAUGGGCGCAAGCCUGAUCCAGCCAUUCCGCGUGCAGGACGAAGGCCUUCGGGUUGUAAACUGCUUUUGUACGGAACGAAAAAGCCUUGGCUAAUACCCAGGGUCCAUGACGGUACCGUAAGAAUAAGCACCGGCUAACUACGUGCCAGCCGCCGCCGUAA